rnacentral:rRNA from 1 species
CUAACACAUGCAAGUCGAACGAGAACGGAUAUUAGUUUACUAACAUUGUCAGCUAAGUGGCGCACGGGUGAGUAAUAUAUAGUUAACCUGCCUCAAAGAAGGGAAUAAUUGUUGGAAACGACUUGUAAUGCCCUAUAUGCCUUUAUGACAAAAGUCAGCAAGGGAAAUAUUUAUAGCUUUGAGAUGGGACUGUACGGUAUCAGAUAGUUGGUGAGGUAAUGGCUUACCAAGUCUAUGACGCCUAACUGGUUUGAGAGGAUGAUCAGUCACACUGGAACUGAGACACGGUCCAGACUCCUACGGGAGGCAGCAGUGGGGAAUAUUGCACAAUGGAGGGAACUCUGAUGCAGCAACGCCGCGUGGAGGAUGACACAUUUCGGUGCGUAAACUCCUUUUAUAUAAGAAGAUAAUGACGGUAUUAUAUGAAUAAGCACCGGCUAACUCCGUGCCAGCAGCCGCGGUAAUACGGGGGGUGCAAGCGUUACUCGGAAUCACUGGGCGUAAAGAGCAUGUAGGCUGGUAGAAAAGUUGGAAGUGAAAUCCUAUGGCUUAACCAUAGAACUGCUUCCAAAACUCUCUACCUAGAAUAUGGGAGAGGUAGAUGGAAUUUCUGGUGUAGGGGUAAAAUCCGUAGAGAUCAGAAGGAAUACCGAUUGCGAAGGCGAUCUACUGGAACAUUAUUGACGCUCAGAUGCGAAAGCGUGGGGAGCAAACAGGAUUAGAUACCCUGGUAGUCCACGCCCUAAACGAUGCACACUAGUUGUUGCCAUACUAGAUAUGGCAGUAAUGCAGUUAACACAUUAAGUGUGCCGCCUGGGGAGUACGGUCGCAAGAUUAAAACUCAAAGGAAUAGACGGGGACCCGCACAAGCGGUGGAGCAUGUGGUUUAAUUCGACGAUACGCGAAGAACCUUACCUGGCCUUGACAUAG